rnacentral:rRNA from 1 species
GAUGAACGCUAGCUACAGGCCUAACACAUGCAAGUCGAGGGACCGGCGCACGGGUGAGUAACACAUAUCCAACCUGCCCUUUACUCGGGGAUAGCCUUUCGAUAGAAAGAUUAAUACACGAUGUAAAGAAUGGGGAUGGGUUCCAUUAGGUUGUUGUGGAGGUAACGGCUCACAAAGCCUUCGAUGGAUAGGGGUUCUGAGAGGAGGGACCCCGAGAUUUGAACAGAGACACGUUCCAAACUCCUAGGGGAGGCAGCAGUUAUGAAUCAAGGUGGAGGGGCGUUAGCGUGAAACAGCGAAGUAGCGUGAAGGAUGUAGGGUGAUGGGUCGUAAACUUCUAUUAUAUAAGAAUAUGUAUUAUAUGAAUAAGGAUCGGCUAACUCCGUGCCAGCAGCCGCGGUAAUAC